rnacentral:rRNA from 1 species
GAGUUUGAUCAUGGCUCAGAUUGAACGCUGGCGGCAUGCCUUACACAUGCAAGUCGAACGGCAGCACGGGAGCUUGCUCCUGGGUGGCGAGUGGCGAACGGGUGAGUAAUGCAUCGGAACGUAUCCUGGAGUGGAGGAUAACGUAGCGAAAGUUACGCUAAUACCGCAUAUUCUGUGAGCAGGAAAGCGGGGGACCUUCGGGCCUCGCGCUCUUGGAGCGGCCGAUGUCGGAUUAGCUAGUUGGUGAGGUAAAGGCUCACCAAGGCGACGAUCCGUAGCAGGUCUGAGAGGAUGAUCUGCCACACUGGAACUGAGACACGGUCCAGACUCCUACGGGAGGCAGCAGUGGGGAAUUUUGGACAAUGGGGGCAACCCUGAUCCAGCCAUGCCGUGUGAGUGAAGAAGGCC